GGGAGGGAGCCUGGGAAUGAACCUGGAGGGCUGUUGGAUGUGGGUGGGAGUACUAUGGAACAGUUUUUUAGGGGGAGGGGGGGAGGGAGGGAA